rnacentral:lncRNA from 1 species
UAUACAGUUACUGAACAAACGUACAACAAUGUUUUUAGUAAGUUUGGAAAACUUCAUGUGUGUUGUGUAUUUAUCAUCCAGAUUAUCUAUUGGCUUUGGCAUUAUAUGUGUGUAUAUAUACAAUUCUGUGUGGAGUUCAAGUGCAAUAUUUUCUAUGUCAUUCUUUUCUACACAGUAUUGUACACGUUUUUUCUUGUUAAUUAUGUAUAUUUAGUCUUUGUUAUUC